GAUUGCUGUAAAUACCAGGAGUACAGCUAAAAUCACAGACCGCGAUUGGCUUGUGGGAGCAGUAAGCAUGGGUAUGGGAGAAGUUUACUGGGUUGUGAUUUUUUCAUAAGCCUUGUAAACAUGUGAAUUCUUAAACUACAUAUAUGUAUUAGAAGUAAAAGCAGUAUAUAUAGAAAUGAAAUAAAUAAAACGAAGUGCUCCAUUUCAAGCCUCCCCAGAACAGAAGUUGUCGACUGUGAAAAUAGAAAGGAGUCUUUAUGAUCUCCUCUUUCAGGGCAAAGCGGCCAACAUUGACCUCCAUCCUGGGCUGGGGAUGAAGCGUGGCUACCGGGCGACAUGCAUAUUGCUUCACAUGCCACCUCUUGCCUCCCAUCUUAGGAAACUCAGCUGCUUGAUUUUUCACUCUCAGGAGAUGAGACAGCCGGUCUUGGGGGAAAGUGGAAACCGCAGCACACACGACACAUUUUUCAAAUGCUUGUGUUACCCAGAGCCCUCGAGAAUGAGAAAGGAAGCUGGCGGCUUGGCAGGUGUGGAGGCCCCUUCCCGCAGACAUCUGUCAGCGGCUGUGGAAGCCCAGCCCCCUCCUCUUUGCAGAGGAAGAGCCCUGGAUUCCUGGCAAGAGCAGGCAUCCGUUCCACCGAUGUUGACCAUCUUAGCUGCCCUUUUUCACACCUUCCCAAGCAAAGGCCUCUGAAAGUGUGCUGCCCAGAACUGGACCUGAUCCUGACCAGGGAAGGGAUUUUGUGGCCAAAGGGCAUUUGCUGUCUGCCUUGACUUUAAAGUGUCUGCAUUCAAAGACUUGGCCGGUGCCGCCCCUCAGGAGCUGGGGUGCCUUCAGACAGACAUCACCUCCCACUUGAAUUCCGAGGGCGAACUCCAGAAUGGCCUUCCCACUCUCCCUGUCUCAGCUUAACUUGGCUUCUCUCUACGAUUUUCCAUUUUAAAAUGUGUGCUGUGCUCUUGAUUCCAAUGUAAAGGUUGUUUGUGAGUGCCUUUAGGAGUAAAGAUCAAGUUCAAAACCGAAAUACCACAAGACGCCCAGCGGGAGCCACGUGGAGAAUCUUUCACUUACCUACCAAACCAGGCCAGGAGGCCCAAGAGGCCUUUGCCACUUCCAGCUGAGUCACCACCGGCCCCACACCUUCUGCUUUUUCC
rnacentral:lncRNA from 1 species